AGAGUUAUCAUAUGACAAAUAUAAUUAUGCUAUUUCCACAUUUAAUUUAUAUGAAAGUUUUAAUCUUAUUCAAGAAGUCUGAUUACACGUGUUUUGUUAUAUCAGAUGUAAUAAUUACUAUAACUCUUCUCUAUUUUUGCAUCAUGCGUCGUACAUGUAUCAUAAUAUAUCCUUAUAUACAUGAUUAAUACGGAUCAACUAACACAAGUUAUAUCUUAUCUAGAAAUGAAAAAAACGCUAACAACACCGUGAAUAAGCGAUGAUAAAACAUAAAAAGUAAGACGAAAGGAAGUAAGAUAACUGAAAUCGUGUACUUGGUUUUUCCUGUAUAAGUAAAUUCAAAAGGAAAUGAAGUAGUAUAAUUAUGAAAUACAUUUAAUAUUAAUAAAUCGUAAUAGUAACAACUGUAAAAAAGCACACAUAAUAUAUAAUUUUUAACUACGUUGGAUCGUAUAACGUUUUAUUUGUACAUGAAAGUCUUAUUCAUGCUUACUUUUUCUGCUGUAUUACGAAAUCCUCAUCUUAAAUGUAAAUAAAUUUCUGUAGCUGUGAGAAUUUUUAAUUCAUACACGGUAUAUCACAAAGUAAGUAUUUCAUGUAUUUGCUAUGUCCGUACGUACACGAAUCACAUACUCUGUAUGUAUUUCAGUACAGUACAGUACAAAGCAAGAAUUCAGCAGAACAUGACGUCCAGCAAAACUGAUUGUCUAAUAGAAUGCACCUACAUAGCAAUAAUAAAUGCUUAGAUAUUAAAUAUGUGUGUUUGUGUCCACAUAACCAAUACCAGGAUUCUAAUAAAAUGUUAUGUAUUCUAUAUUAUCCUGUGAUAGUCUUGUUAGAGAAGUGGAAUAUUUCUUAUCUGAGUAAGCUAAUAUUCAUAGUCGUAUCAAUUUUUAAUCAGCGGAAUAAUCACAGGUGCUAAGAGAAAAUAGCGGAUAUAAACUUUGAACACCAUGGAAAAAUAUUUAAUAUAAAGUUGAUUUUGUAAAAUAUAUGACGGAAAAUUUACCAUGGAAACAGUUUACAAUUAUGUUAGAAAUUCAUUGUGGGGCGCGUACGCUCCACGCUGCCUGAUCGAAAAGUAAGAAAAGAAAGUCCGGCACGGAACGUGUUAAUUAUAAUUUGAUGCAGUUUUUUAAAAUUAACGCCAAAAUGAUCUUCGACUAAAUUCCUACUCUUAGGGCAACUACCAGACCAGUACAUACACUAUGGUACACUACCACUGCUACUAAUACAUUAUUUUUACACAACCAUAUGCUGAUUCACUACUCACAAACCAAGUUGCCGAAUCUCCCAACAGAUGGAUCGAAGGCACUGCCAUCGAUGGAACAGAGAAUUAUGUCAGAAUGAUUGCGGUCCAAUUCCAUAAUUCCUGCGCAAAACACCGAAGAAACCGAACCUCCAAAUUCUAAGUCUAAUUGUAAGAGCAUAAGAGGUGCAGGACGAAACUACGACAGUUUGAAUGGUUUCGGAGCGACUAUCGGUGGUCUUAGCGGCAUGGUUUUGGAUUAUUCUACUUGCAGUAGGAAGUGCAAAAAAUGUGACGAAAGUGAGCAUCCACCUAAUCACGACUGUCUUAAACCAUGGAGCCACAAGUCGCCAAAAAACUUGUGGUUGGCAGUCCAAUUCUCGUUCGAAAAGUAUUCAAGUUGGGAUACCGAUAGGGAAUGAUGAUAGUUCUACUAUCGCGGAAUGUCGUGCUGCCAGUUCCCAUCCCAUAAUACGAGUAAAACAAUAGGAUGCCAAUCAUACAUCGAAAGGAGUCAAGAAAGAAUGUAUAAUAUCCAUAAAAGUCACAAAGAAUUAACCAAGGAUUGCAUAGUAUAUCUUCAUGGAUGUUUCAUGUACUUACGCGAUGAAACAAAAUAAAGGUGACAGUAAAGCCAUGGCUGCUGUUAUUCAUUGCAUUCCUUAUCAUGCCUUUAAUGACCAUAGCAAGUGCAGAAGCUGGUAUGGAUAUCUUAAUGAUAAGGAAAAUUACGACAACCGCGUUACACCAGGAGGAUUUCACGAUGCAAAUCUUUUCGAAGCUCUGAAAACAAUUUUCGAAAAAUUGACUAACAAUGUCCACAAACUUUCUGUCGGUGCUUCUAGCAAUGUAAACGAGAAUUUAAAUGCCACAAUGGCCAGCAAAGCACCGAUUCUGUUUCAGCCUGAAUGCCUCAGCGGAUUUUUGAUUUGCGUGUACUAUUGGUAAACAAAUUUUGGUGAGGGCUAUACUUAAAAAACGUUAUUCUGUCUCCUGGAAAACAUCAUUCUCGCCAUAUUGCAAACACUGAGCGAAGACUUUUGUAACGAUGACAACGCAUAAGACCUGCAGCGUUCAAGAGGAGAUGAAUGCAAUUGAAAAAUCAGCGUGCCGCAUUACGUCUUAGAAAGAAAAUAGUGAAGGUACUCGUACGGAACUAACUGUGCCCUUCUCGAUGAACCAGCAGUACAAGACAACGACGAUUCGGAGGAUAGCGAAGAUGAUACUAAUGGAAUACGUCUCGUUUUACUGGAUUUUGGAAACUGCAGAAUUGCGGGACAUAAAUGGCAUCCCGAGCGAGGGGAAUAGGCUACCCCCUCUGCGCGUCAGCCUGGCUUGCUCGCCACCAGUCGCCACUGCCGGCCGCCCCAGUCACGCUUUC